GGCUUCUUAGCUCAGUUGGUUAGAGCACCGUGCUAAUAACGCGGGGGUCGUGGGUUCAAUCCCCACAGAAGCCA
rfam:Intoshia linei isolate Intl2013 Contig_1018, whole genome shotgun sequence.